GCGGGCCGCUUCCGGCACCGGCAGGCAACGGGCGAGGGGCGCGCGCGGGGCGUGCCGGGAAAUGUAGUUCAGUAUGGAUGUGGGGGAGCGGCGGCCAGGACAGGUGCAGGUGGUGUUUGUGUGCCCCACGUCCUGCAGUGUGUGAGAGGAGCUGGGAACAAGGUCUCCUGACAUGGAUAAAUCUGGAGCAUUCAGGGAGUGGAUGGAGCAGAGCCUUCUGUGCCAGCCAGACUUGAUGAAUCAUCGGGCCAUGCUGUCACUGGUGGAAGUGCACCAGAUGGAGGAGCAGCCACCAGCGAUCCCCCAGGAACCUCCUGGGGCUGGGAUGAGAACUGGGGUGGAACUCAGCCCCUGGAGAGGCUCUGCAGGGCCCCUGGGCCACGGGACCG